UUCCCCAUCCUCUCUCCCAUCCUCCCUCUCUGGCAUUCUCUUAAAAAACCCAGAUUCCUUCUUCUCAAAUGGGUUCCUUAUGUCCAUCGAUUUCACCGUCAUCUCGUAGGCAUCCCCAUUUACCAACCGCUGAAGGUUUAUUAAAGGAUCAAAUCUUUUGAUUUUUAAGUGGCAUUUCCAGAUGGCUAAAUAAGGGAAAGCGAACUGCUUUUUGUGAUGGUGGUGCUUAGAUUACUCAAUGACAUCGUUUUUUUGUGAAUUUCACAAGAAAAAUACAAAAGCAUGUGCUUAUAAAAACAAAGUUAUUGACAAUUGGAGGACAUUGAGAUCUUGUGUGGGAUGGAUAGAGCUAUUGGAGUUGGUGCAAAAUAUAUGGACGAUGCAGUUGAAUUUAUGAUUGAGGAAGGAGAAAAUUGAUGAAGUCUCCUAUUGCACAACAACACAUCAACAUUUGGUAUCAAUAAGUUAUGCAAUUGAGCCUUGACAAAGAAAAAAGAGUAGAAAAGAUCCACUUUGAAACAAUUUUUAAGUUUGAGAUUUU